UCGACUAAGGUUCGACUCGAGCGAAGCGAGAGAACGUUGCCGCAGGCAACGGCCCGAAGGGCGAGGCGCUUUAGCGCCGAGUAAUCCUUCCCCCACCACUG
rnacentral:sRNA from 1 species